ensembl:lncRNA
GUCUAAUACAGCAAACUUUUAUUAAAUGAAAAUUCAAACAUCUAAGUGGAAUAACAUUAUCUGGAAUAACAUUAUCUGGAAUAACAUUAUCUGGAAUAACAUUAUCUGGAAUAACAUUAUCUGGAAUAACAUUAUCUGGAAUAACAUUAUCUGGAAUAACAUUAACUACCUGUGCAGGAUUAACAUCUUUCAGAGGAGAUAGUUUGUAUCCCAAAUGACACCCUAAUCCCUAUAUAGUGCACUACUUUUGACCAGGGCCCUAUGGGGGGGUAGUGCACUACUUUUGACCAGGGCCCUAUGGGGGGGGUAUGCACUACUUUUGACCAGGGCCCUAUGGGGGGGUAGUGCACUACUUUUGACCAGGGCCCUAUGGGGGGGUAUGCACUAUAUAUGGGAUACAGCCUGAGUCCAGAAAGCAACAAUAACAUGGAGAAAGACACAUUUUUUUUUCUUUUUUAAAAGACGAGUCCAACGACAGCUAUAUAAUCCCACAAACCAGACGAUUAAAAUACCAAAUCAGAAAAAAACAAAAAUAUAAACAAUCCCCCCCAAAAAAAAAGCCAUAUCAGCCAAUCAAAUCUCACAAAUCUGUAUAAGGGGGGUUCCUCAUCCCACUAGAGUAGCCUGCCUCUCUGCCAUUGGAUUGCUGUUGAUUGUAGUGGUAGCUCCUCCCCCGACCCCUCACAUUUUGUCCUUUAGAGGUGGCAUCGCCCCCUCUUCCUUCCUGCUUCCUGUCCCCUCGGUCUUGUUCCCGGAAACCUUCCCUGUUAUCUCUCCUCCCCACUCCUCGGUAACCUCCUACCCCCCGUCUCUCACCCCUCCAACGGUUCUCUCUAUACCCUCUGGCUCCUCCUCCCUCCUCGUGUCCUCCCCUCCCUCCUCCACCUCUGAAGGAGCGACUGUAGAACUUCUUUCCGUUUCUGAGGGUGUGGUCAUUAGGGUCUAGCCACUCCCCUCCCUCCCAGUCUCGGUCCAAUGAUGUUACGCCGCUUGGGGCCUGGGGCACUAAAUAUGAAGUCUCGCCCCAGCUCCCCCCCGUCGUGUCAUUGGUCGUUUUCACGUUAAACUCCGCCCCGCUCUGGGUCAUGGGGGCGUCGCCCGCACCCUGCAUCGCCAUGCCGACGGAUACAUCCUUGAACAUGGUCUGGGCACUUACUGUUGUUAUCAGGUGACCCUCGGGGACCCAUGUGACCUGAGAGAGGUAAGAGAGAUAGAGGGAUUAGUAACAGUACAAAAUCAGAAACACUACACACAGAUGAAAUCAACAACAACAAAAUCCCAUGACUAAAAUUUAAGUCGAUCAAAAUACACAUUUGGGUCGAGUGUCACUGACAUCCACCUUCAGGGGUUAGAAGAUUGGUCGAAUCAUUUCAAAAGUUGCAUAAACACACAGGCUAACAAAAUAAAAUCAUGGACGUUUACCAAAAAGUGUAUUUUGAACACAGCAGAGUUUCAGAAUAGGUGAUUAGAGAGACUACCAUAAAUCAUGGAGAACAAGAUCCUGCACCCUCAACAUAGUAAGGGAAACAGCCAACUUGUACCGCCAUUCAUUGGAAAGGAAGUGGAUUCAUGUCUGUUUGAGCAGGAUUCCCUAAAAUGGCCGCCAGACAUUUGGUCACUGCUCUUCCAAAGUGUUCUGGUGAGAAACGCUCAGAAAAUGUACCGUCGCUUUCCCUCUCGACCA